AAGAGGGCGAAGGGGUUUGGGGUCGCCGCCUUGUUUGUGCGUCGUGCGACCGGUGCUACCUCCCGGAAGGCUUUUUUCCCGUCCGGUUGUGUAUUCACCUCUCUCUUUCCCAGGGUCGGGAGCAUGUGGUCUGCUCUGAGCCACGGGUGUAACUCAGAGGACUUGAGACCUCGAGUUCUUUAGUCUCCAGCUGAGGAAGACGCAUUUCAGUUGAGACUAGUCACAUUUCCAGUGCUGAGAAGCAGGCCUUGGCCAGUGUGGCUGCAGGUGCCUGAGGAGUGCAGAGUGGCAUAAGACGCAGCGGAAGAGACAGAUAACAGUUGCCGCCAGUGUUGCUGUCUGCUGUGCCAAUGUUGCUGUCCUCAAAAUGAUGUCUGUGGAUACCUCUUCUUACUAUUUCAGUCUCUGAAUUUUUAUGUCAAAAGCCAGCUUUGCUUAAAUGUUAAUUAUUUUUUUAAGUAUGAUUUAUUCUGGAAUAAUUUUAUGUGCACAGAAAAUUUGCAAAGGCAAUAUAGCAAGUUCCUAUGUGCACUUCAUGCAUCGUCUCCUAAUGUUAACAUCUGUAGUAGAUUGAAUGGUGGCCCCCCAAAAUAUAUGCCCACAAACUAACUCCUGGAAUAUGUGAAUGUGACCUUAUUUGGAAAAAGAGUCUUUGCAGAUGUAAUUAAGUUAAGGAUCUCAAGAUGGGAUUGUUCUGGAUUAUUUGAUUGGGCUGUAAAUCUAAUGACAAGUGUCCUUAUAAAAGACACACAGAGGAGAGACAUACAGGGAGAAGUGGAGAAGGCUUGCUUAUCUAUCUAUCUAUCUAUCUAUCUAUUUAUUUAUUUAUUUUUUACUGAUGUCCCUUUUUUGUUCUAGGAUCCAGUCCAGGGCACUACAUUGCAUUAGUUGUUACAUCUCCAUAGUCUCCACUGGUUCAUGAUAGUUUCCCAGUCUUGUUUUUCAUGACCUUGAUGGUUUUGAGCAGUACUGGUAAGAUACUUUGUAGAAUAUCCCCUAUUAUGAAUUUGUCUGUAUUUUUCUCAUGAUUAGACUGGGUUAUGAGUUCUGGGGAAGAAUACCACAGAGGUGUGGUGCCCCUGUGGGGAAAGGGCUAUAUAUAUCCACAUGACUUAUCCCUGCUGUUGUUAGUCUUGAUCACUUAGAUAAAGUGGAGUUUUCCAGGUUUCUCCAUUGUAAAGUCACAUUUCCCCUAUCUAUACUAUAUUCUUUGGAAUCAAGUCUUUAAGUCCAUCCCUUCAUGGGAGAUUAAUCUACCUCCUUGUAAUAGGGAGAAGCUAAUAUGUAUUAUUUGGAAUUUUUAUGUAAGAUACAUGCCUUCCUUCCUCCUCUUUUUCAAUAAUUUAUAUAUAUCAGUAUCAAUGUAUGUGUACAUUAUAAUCCAAUUCCACUUUAUGA